GUGCCAGCAGCCGCGGUAAUACGUAGGGUGCGAGCGUUAAUCGGAAUUACUGGGCGUAAAGCGUGCGCAGGCGGUUAUAUAAGACAGUUGCGAAAUCCCCGGGCUUAACCUGGGAAUGGCGCUUGUGACUGCACGACUGGAGUGCGGCAGAGGGGGAUGGAAUUCCGCGUGUAGCAGUGAAAUGCGUAGAUAUGCGGAGGAACACCGAUGGCGAAGGCAGUCCCCUGGGCCUGCACUGACGCUCAUGCACGAAAGCGUGGGGAGCAAACA
rnacentral:rRNA from 1 species